GGACAUAUGGCAAAAUGACAGCGCGUUUGACUCCAGAUCAAACAGUAGGGCGUUCGACUCGCUCUGGGCUCA
rfam:Gregarina niphandrodes unplaced genomic scaffold scaffold00196, whole genome shotgun sequence.